rnacentral:rRNA from 2 species
UACGUAGGGUGCGAGCGUUAAUCGGAAUUACUGGGCGUAAAGCGUGCGCAGGCGGUUUUGUAAGCCAGAUGUGAAAUCCCCGGGCUUAACCUGGGAACUGCAUUUGGGACUGCAAGGCUUGAGUACGGCAGAGGGGGGUAGAAUUCCUGGUGUAGCAGUGAAAUGCGUAGAUAUCAGGAGGAAUACCGAUGGCGAAGGCAGCCCCCUGGGUCGAUACUGACGCUCAUGCACGAAAGCGUGGGGAGCAAACAGG